rnacentral:misc_RNA from 1 species
AUGGCCCAACCUCCCACCCGUGACUAUUGUACCUUGUUGCUUCGGCGGGCCCGCCAGCGUUGCUGGCCGCCGGGGGGCGACUCGCCCCCGGGCCCGUGCCCGCCGGAGACCCCAACAUGAACCCUGUUCUGAAAGCUUGCAGUCUGAGUUGUGAUUCUUUGCAAUCAGUUAAAACUUUCAACAAUGGAUCUCUUGGUUCCGGCAUCGAUGAAGAACGCAGCGAAAUGCGAUAACUAAUGUGAAUUGCAGAAUUCAGUGAAUCAUCGAGUCUUUGAACGCACAUUGCGCCCCCUGGUAUUCCGGGGGGCAUGCCUGUCCGAGCGUCAUUGCUGCCCUCAAGCCCGGCUUGUGUGUUGGGCCCUCGUCCCCCGGCUCCCGGGGGACGGGCCCGAAAGGCAGCGGCGGCACCGCGUCCGGUCCUCGAGCGUAUGGGGCUUCGUCUUCCGCUCCGUAGGCCCGGCCGGCGCCCGCCGACGCAUUUUUUUGCAACUUGUUUUUUUCCAGGUUGACCUCGGAUCAGGUAGGGAUA